AGUGGCAUUGUUACGUCAUAUGGUAUACGUUUAUUUAUAAGAAAUAGACAAACUACUUUCCAAAGUGGCUAUACCAUUUUACUUUCCCACCAGUCAU
rnacentral:pre_miRNA from 1 species